AUACAAGCUAUGAAGGGAAGAGUAUGCAAUAGUGUUGUUUAAAAGAGAGCGGGGUAAGGUGAAAGCCCGUAAACAAAAUGUUGCAGAAAAUCAUCCCGGAGCUGCAGGCUGAACUUAUAGUAAGCUGUGCCGGCUGUUGCCGUUAUAUAAAUGAGUAAAAAUUUGGGUGGUACCGCGACAGACUUUUCGCCCCAGGG
rnacentral:ncRNA from 1 species